GGGGAGGCAGGGAGGUGCACGGAAGAGCCACGGCACGCACAGCAACGGAGGGGAGAUACCCCCCAACAAUCCCAAGGAAUUCUCCGGCAAUCUGCUUAAACCAGGAAAUUAUCAUGAGGAGAACCAGCUAGAAAGGGGAUGGAAGAGGAUCAUGAUGACUAUGCCACAUUCUCAGCCUCAGCUCCUCGAACUCCCUCUGACUUCAAAGGAAACUGCAUGAAGAGGGAGGGCACACAAUAGGAGAAUUGGUCUGAUUAUCCCCCUCUGUUUAGAAAUAGGUAAAGAUUAUAGAUACGUUUUCUUCUUUCUGUGCUUUGGACUAUAUAAUGUCAAUUAUCUCAAGCAAAACCCCCUACUGAGGUUAAUGCAUAGAUUUGGAUUAUACCAAGACUGGAAACAAGAUAUUAAUAAUAAUCCAUAACAGUGUGAGUGUGACAUAAUGAAAUGCAUAUUUAUUUUCAUUUAGUUGGUACAAUAAAAAAAGUAAAUUACUUGAGAGACUUCAAUUUUAUAUAUAAUGUACCAUGCAUGAUCUUUUUUGCUCUUCCCUCACCACUUUGUAUUAUGAAUGGAGUAAUUAAAAAGAGUCUACUUCUUUCCUAUUCUACUAUAGCACAUUUUGCCCCUUUAAAAGUAUUUGUCUGUUUAUGAAUGUUUGUAUGUAUUCAUUGAUUAUUUAAACCCACGUCUGAAAAUGAAAUUGUAAUGCUAAAGGCUAAAUGAAUGAAUUAGCCUGAGCUGCUAAUUAAAAGACCAUACACAAAGUAUUAACCGGGAACCACUUUUGGACUUUUCAUUCCCAACCCAAAUGAAAAGGCAAGCAUAAUAUUCCCACAUCACUUCUGAAAAUGAUGUCAGGAAAUGUUUUCUCAGAGUCAGCUACUGGUCAAGACUUACACAGCAAGCUAAACAAAAUAAUGAAGGAUCAGGGAUUCUGGAAGGGCCAAAAGUUCGAACAGGAGACCUUUAGCCCUUCUGCUAGGAAUGCAUAAUAUACUUCCUAUUUGUUUGAUAGGUGCUUACCACUCCCUGAAAGCUAAAGCAUUUAUAACUUCCAUUUUAGGGACUGAAGUGUUCUGGCCCAGUCUUGCUAUUUAGGAUAAUUUUCCUUAGAAGUGAAUCAAAUACAAUUUGAACUGCCCAAUGAAAAUAACACCAACAAAAUCCCCAAAGGACCAGUCUACUGAAAGCUGUUUUAUUAAGCUUCCAGAAUUUGGGAUUAUCCAAAACUACAAAAGAAUUAUAUAAAACUAUGAAUGAAUUUCAUGAAGGUUGGCUUCAAUAAAGACUUUGAUAAAAGACUUCUUUUUUUAAAGUCUUUAAUAAAGACUCCAUUUCUCUUAUGAGAGUCUAGAUAGAUCAUACAGUUCCCUAUCAGCCAUAUGACAUCCACAUUCCAAUGAUAGCUGGAGGUUUAACCCAACAAAUGCCUGAGUUUGAGCUAUUUCUGUUCACAAAUAGAGAAGAUUUCAGGUAAGUAACAUGAAGGUAUUUUUUUUCCAAUUCUAAAAUGGUUUAAAAAUAUGUAAAAUAUAAUGGAAUUUAAUUGAAUGACUAAAGCCCCAAGCUUUAGUGGUUAGUCAUUUUUAGCCAGCUUUUAGGCUUAGCUUACCAAUGCUCCAAGAAAACAGAAAGAAACUUGAAUGCAAACCUUCCAGCCAGGUAACUCUAUAGUUCAUAAGUGGCAAUGAGUGACGUCUUCUCAGGAAAAUCUUGGAAAUUACAAAUGUUGCACACUUUAUUAAUCCAUGUUUAACCUGAAGCCCCCUUUUCUUCCUGUGUUCAGAAUUUCUAUUACUAACUAUACUAUGUUGAAGUUUAUAUGACAGGCCAUUUCAACACUUUUGUUUAGUUAAAUGGAAGUGCAUCACUUUUAAAGAAAAACCCUAUUGCCAAAAAAUAUAAACAACCCUAACUUUGAUUAAUAUAAAUAUUUAAAAACCAGAACAUUCUGUUACAUCUUACAAAAACAAUUCUGAUGUAGCUGAUGGGAAAGAAAAAGUGCUUUCAUACAUUAGACAAAUCCAACAAAAUACAGCUGCAGAACAAAUUUUAAGUAAAUAUGAAUUGUUUGUCUUUUCACAGGGCUACGAUAUUUACUUAAUGGAGUUGUUUUAGCACACUUUAAGUUUCAUUAGUAAAAAUGGAAGGCUUUUUUUUUUUAGUUUUAGUUCUGAAGAGUUUGAUUUAAAUUUCAAAGCCCUUUAAUUAAAAAAAAACACCAUUACAAUUAUUCCUUCUCCCUGGUUUAGAGUUUUGCUAAUAAAACUCUGGACAAGAGAUGUGUGAAAUGAAUAGAUGAAGAAAAACGUUGACAGCAAAAGCGAGGUCUGGAGGGUGAAGUUAGUUUAUUAGGCCCGGUUUGUCACGAAUGGCCCUGCUGCACAUAUAAAAGCAAAUCCCUCUACCUUAGAAGAUUAAUUCUGAAGGAGGCACUCUUGGG